UUAAACUGGAGAGUUUGAUCCUGGCUCAGAACGAACGUUAGCGGCGCGCUUAACACAUGCAAGUCGAGCGAGAAAGGGCUUCGGCCCCGGUAAAGCGGCGCACGGGUGAGUAACACGUGGGUAAUCUGCCCUCGAGUGGUGGAUAACUCCCCGAAAGGGGAGCUAAUACAGCAUAAGACCACGACUCUCCGGAGUUGGGGUCAAAGCGGGCCUCUCCAUGGAAGCUCGCGCUUGAGGAUGAGCCUGCGGCCCAUCAGCUUGUUGGUGGUGUAAAAGACCACCAAGGCGAAGACGGGUAGCUGGUCUGAGAGGAUGAACAGCCACACUGGAACUGAGACACGGUCCAGACUCCUACGGGAGGCAGCAGU
rnacentral:rRNA from 1 species